rnacentral:rRNA from 1 species
GGAUCCAGACUUUGAUUCUGGCUCAGGAUGAACGCUAGCUACAGGCUUAACACAUGCAAGUCGAGGGGCAGCAUGAACUUAGCUUGCUAAGUUUGAUGGCGACCGGCGCACGGGUGAGUAACACGUAUCCAACCUUCCGUUUACUCAGGGAUAGCCUUUCGAAAGAAAGAUUAAUACCUGAUAGUAUGGUGAGAUUGCAUGAUAGCACCAUUAAAGAUUUAUUGGUAAACGAUGGGGAUGCGUUCCAUUAGGUAGUAGGCGGGGUAACGGCCCACCUAGCCGACGAUGGAUAGGGGUUCUGAGAGGAAGGUCCCCCACAUUGGAACUGAGACACGGUCCAAACUCCUACGGGAGGCAGCAGUGAGGAAUAUUGGUCAAUGGGCGAGAGCCUGAACCAGCCAAGUAGCGUGAAGGAUGAAGGUCCUACGGAUUGUAAACUUCUUUUAUACGGGAAUAAAGUAUCCUACGUGUAGGAUUUUGUAUGUACCGUAUGAAUAAGCAUCGGCUAACUCCGUGCCAGCAGCCGCGGUAAUACGGAGGAUGCGAGCGUUAUCCGGAUUUAUUGGGUUUAAAGGGAGCGCAGACGGGAGAUUAAGUCAGUUGUGAAAGUUUGCGGCUCAACCGUAAAAUUGCAGUUGAUACUGGUUUCCUUGAGUGCAGUUGAGGCAGGCGGAAUUCGUGGUGUAGCGGUGAAAUGCUUAGAUAUCACGAAGAACCCCGAUUGCGAAGGCAGCUUGCUAAACUGUAACUGACGUUCAUGCUCGAAAGUGUGGGUAUCAAACAGGAUUAGAUACCCUGGUAGUCCACACGGUAAACGAUGGAUACUCGCUGUUGGCGAUAUACUGUCAGCGGCCAAGCGAAAGCAUUAAGUAUCCCACCUGGGGAGUACGCCGGCAAC